rfam:Myotis davidii contig128445, whole genome shotgun sequence.
GGCAGUUCUCGGGUGACACCCCAGAAUUGGAAUCCCUCCUCUCUGGUCCGGGGUGUGUCAUCUGAGAACCGCA